rnacentral:rRNA from 1 species
GACGAACGCUGGCGGCGUGCUUAACACAUGCAAGUCGAACGGAAAGGCCCUGCUUUUGUGGGUUGCUCGAGUGGCGAACGGGUGAGUAACACGUGAGUAACCUGCCCUUGACUUUGGGAUAACUUCAGGAAACUGGGGCUCAUACCGCAUAUGAGCUCCUGCUGCAUGGUGGGGGUUGGAAAGUUUCGGCGGUUGGGGAUGGACUCGCGGCUUAUCCGCUUGUUGGUGGGGUAGUGGCUUACCAAGGCUUUGACGGGUAGCCGGCCUGAGAGGGUGAACGGCCACAAGGGGACUGAGAUACGGCCCAGAAUGCUACGGGAGGCAGCAGUGGGGAAUAUUGCACAAUGGGCGGAAGCGUGAUGCAGCAGCGCCGGGUGCGGAAUGACGGCCUUCGGGUUGUAAACAGCUUUGGCAUGUGACGAAGAGUGAGUGACGGUAAUGGGUAAAGAAGCAACGGCUAACUACGUG